rnacentral:other from 1 species
GCUGUUCUAGGAUGUUCGCCAGCGAGUCCGAUUCCCCUGAGCCGAUAUCAUCACAUUAGGAUGUGUUCUGCAUAUUUAGAGUGUAUGCCUGCCACGUGCAGGAAACCCAGCAAGUAUGCGUCACCUCCACCUUGAACUUUAGGGUUCAAGGGUAACGACAUGCAGCGGCAUCUCUGGAGCAUCU